ACACCUCAACUCUCACGGUUUGCCGUGAUGAGCUUGGACUUUGGGGGUCUUGCUGGCCUAUGGUCAGCUCCUCUCAAAUGGAUCAGCUUGCCAGUGUUUGGUGGCAUCGCAGGUGUGAUAACUAUCUACGCUUGUGGUCUCCCACCAGGUAACCCUCAGCAAAUGGAGGUUCGCUGGGGCUCAUAAACGUCUUUCCUCAGUGAAGACAGCUCUCUGAAC
rnacentral:misc_RNA from 1 species